AGCUCAGUGGUAGAGCACAUGCUUAGCAUGCACAAGGUCCUGGGUUCAAUCCCCAG
rnacentral:tRNA from 1 species